rnacentral:rRNA from 1 species
AGAGUUUGAUCCUGGCUCAGAUUGAACGCUGGCGGAAUGCUUUACACAUGCAAGUCGAACGGUAGAGGGGGCAACCCCUUGAGAGUGGCGAACGGGUGAGUAAUAUAUCGGAACGUGCCCAGUCGUGGGGGAUAACGUAGCGAAAGUUACGCUAAUACCGCAUACGAUCUAAGGAUGAAAGCGGGGGACCGUAAGGCCUCGCGCGAUUGGAGCGGCCGAUAUCAGAUUAGGUAGUUGGUGGGGUAAAGGCUCACCAAGCCAACGAUCUGUAGCUGGUCUGAGAGGACGACCAGCCACACUGGAACUGAGACACGGUCCAGACUCCUACGGGAGGCAGCAGUGGGGAAUUUUGGACAAUGGACGCAAGUCUGAUCCAGCCAUUCCGCGUGCAGGAUGAAGGCCCUCGGGUUGUAAACUGCUUUUGUACGGAACGAAAAGGUUUCUCUUAAUACGAGGAGCUCAUGACGGUACCGUAAGAAUAAGCACCGGCUAACUACGUGCCAGCAGCCGCGGUAAUACGUAGGGUGCAAGCGUUAAUCGGAAUUACUGGGCGUAAAGCGUGCGCAGGCGGUUAUGUAAGACAGAGGUGAAAUCCCCGGGCUCAACCUGGGAACUGCCUUUGUGACUGCAUAGCUAGAGUACGGUAGAGGGGGAUGGAAUUCCGCGUGUAGCAGUGAAAUGCGUAGAUAUGCGGAGGAACACCGAUGGCGAAGGCAAUCCCCUGGACCUGUACUGACGCUCAUGCACGAAAGCGUGGGGAGCAAACAGGAUUAGAUACCCUGGUAGUCCACGCCCUAAAC